CUUUCAGAGCCUGGGCUCAGGUGCUCCAUCCCAAAUGCCAUCUUUGUGGUUACAUCUUGGCCUAGAGAUGUCCUUCCAAAAAAAAAAAAAAAAAAAAAAAAACCUCACUUUUCAAAUGUCACUUGUCUCAGAAGAGUUAUACAUUGAUGGACUGCCAUUUAGCCCACCACCAUCUUGAGAGGACAAGACAAGUAAACUCGAAGCCAGUUUCUAAAUCAUAGGCAGUUUUUAAUCAGCCAUGAAGAGGACACUUGAUCAAGCAGAGCCGGCAGAGGAAAAACAGAGGCUGAACUGGGGGAGGCUGCCAUGGAGGAGAUGAUCAGCAAAACUAGACCAUUCAACUGCCGUGAAUGAGAAUAACUGCCGUCCUCACAUUUAUCUCACCCUCUCUCCUUCCUUUGGGGGCUUGCUUUCAAUGUGAGCAAACUUCCAAAGUCAAGAAAUUGUCAACUAUGUACCCACCUGGCCAAAGGAGACAACAGCUCAAUCUGAAGCCAUCUUAGCAGGACAGCCCUUAUUAAAUUCAUAGGUUCUUGCUAAACAGUGCCAAUUGUACUGUGCCUACAUUUUCAUCCACUGUGACUGAAGAAGGCUCACACAAAGCCUCUGAUACAAAUACCUUAAAC
rnacentral:lncRNA from 1 species